CCUACGGGAGACAGCAGUGAGGAAUAUUGGUCCAUGGGCGAGAGCCUGAACCAGCCAAGUCGCGUGAGGGAAGACGGUCCUAUGGAUUGUAAACCUCUUUUGCCGGGGAGCAAAAAGCGGUACGUGUACCGCAUCGAGAGUACCCGCAGAAAAAGCAUCGGCUAACUCCGUGCCAGCAGCCGCGGUAAUACGGAGGAUGCGAGCGUUAUCCGGAUUUAUUGGGUUUAACGGGUGCGUAGGCGGCGGAGUAAGUCCGAGGUAAAAACUCGGGGCUCAACCCUGAGCAUGCCUUUGAAACUGGGUUUCUUGAGUGCUGGAGAGGUAAUCGGAAUGCGGGGUGUAGCGGUGAAAUGCGUAGAUAUAAGGAGGAACACCAGUGGCGAAGGCGGAUUGCUGGACAGUAACUGACGCUGAGGCGCGAAAGCGUGGGGAGCAAACAGGAUUAGAUACCCUUGUAGUC
rnacentral:rRNA from 1 species